UAUUAUCAUAUUUUAUUAAUUAAUGUAUAUUUAAACAAAUGUAUGAUAUUUUUUAUAAACCUGCUUGAUUAUUUAUAAUGAUAAAUUGAGACAAAAGCAUUUUUUCCCCUUUAGGAUGCAUUACGGUAAUGAAUUUGUGACUUCAAAAACAGUUAAAAAACAUAAAAAAACGUAAUUUGGUAACCAACAAUGAUCUGUGCCAAAUAUUAGAAAUAAUGAUUGUCCAAAAAAAAGUGCAUUAUUUUUAGUUUUUUAUGAGUAUGCCCCUAAAAUCUUCUAAGACAUUCGAUAGGUUGGGUUUGUAAGAUUCUCCCAGCGGAUGAUCUGCCUCCUCCGGAUGAUGUCACAGCUAACAAAAAAGCAGACCAGGUGAAGGAAAAAACGGCAGAACAAAAUGUUAAAAGUUGAAAUAUCAACAAACAACGCAAAUUGUAGAACAGUAGGAGAACUCAGCAAAGUGAGAAAAUCCAGACAAAUCAUCUCUUCUUGAUCCUUUAAUUGCCAACAUGGCACAUAAACACUCCAUAAUGGCAGUUUUUGCAAGUGAUCUAAUUGAUUAUUGUGUAGUUGGUGUAGUUAGAGACACUAAAAUGUCCAUGUUCUAAACCUGUUCUUAUCCAAAAAAGAACUAGCUUACAGUGAACAGGCCAUUCAUCAUGAUUUUAUUUCAUUAUAAUUGAAAGCACAUUUGUCUGUUUGAUGUCGUAAUCUCACCCAGGACUAUUUUUAUGAUUGUUGUAAUAAUUUUAUCGACAAACAUGCUCCGUCAGCUGAGAGUUAAGGGUCCUGGUUCACUACUGAAUUAGUGUCUUUUGCGCAGGAGAAGUCAGCUUUAGGCAACUGCAAGAAAAUGUGGAUUUGAAGCUGAUUGGCUACAUUUACAUCAAUUAUGAAACAAAAUGUACUGCUGCCAUAAAGAAAGAAAAACAGGAUUAUUUUGUGAUGAUCUCGGCACUGAUGCUAGUCUGAUCAGUCACUCAGCACACCUGCUCAGCUCCACCCCGCCUGCUAUCAGUAUUCAAUGGUUCCACCUGUUUCCUCCACCAUAUAAGCAGCCUUCAGACCAGCCAUCAGUGCCAGAUUGUCUCAAGCCAUCCCGGUAAGAACAUUCCAGCCAUUCUGAUUCUGCCUGCCUGUCUGUUACCCGACCACCCGAUCCUGUUCUGAUUCUAUCUGCCUGCCUGGAAACCUAAUCUGAUCUGCUUUCUGUAACCGAGCUUGUCUGUCCCUGUUCUGCCUCUGUCUGCCUGCCUGGAUACCUGACGGAUCUGCCUCUGGACUUUGGACUCUGCCUAUCCUGGACUGCCUGCCUGUGAGCCUGACCCUUCUGCCCGUGAGUACUGUGACCCUCCUAACCCCUUAACUCUCCUAGCCCGCCAGUUACCGAACCCAGACCGAACCUGGACCCGGCUGUUGGAUCUCCCCUCUGUACGAUGCUGGAUCUCUGACGCCGAACUCGGACCUCCUUUGGAUAAUGCCCUGGAAAGCCCCCCAACGGACUGCCUGCUUCAGCCCCGCCAGCCAAGUCCGCAGACGGACCUUCGCUCCCGGACCUGUUCGCCUGCCUCACAGCCGGCUCUCCUGGCUCUGGAACCCCACCAUCAGAGCAGAGGAUCUGACUGGGUUCGGAGAACUGCCUGCUGGAUCAAAGCUAAGUCUGCAGUCUAACUUCUGUGUAACUAGACGCAAGAGUAAAGAAUCUAUCUAUGCUGAAACCAGCCUUGUGAUUUUUUUCUAAGCUGUUGCAGGAAAGCUGACUUGAGACGGCGCAGAGCAGUCUCGCUUUCUGCAACCAGGCCAAGCUGAAAGGAAAAGCUGAUCUGAAAUCACCCGGUGCAACCUGCUCAAAGACUCAGGAGAGCAGCUACCCCAGGGGAGCCGAGUGGAGGCCCUGGAGCCUUCUAACAGCCAUAUUUCGGCUAGCCAUAGAGCCGCAUGCUAGCCUUCACCUAAGUAGCCUUCACCUUGUUCGCUUCAACUGUGUCCAACAGACCUUUUUCAUGACAACCGGAAGCUGCGUGUGAAAGGGCUGGGCCACUUCCUGUUUUACCCCACUAACAAAUCUGUGAAAGGAUACAAGUUCUUCCACGAAGAAUAUAUCCACAGCUAUCAAGAUAUCAUUGUGUGUUGGAAAAGAAAAGGCAGAAUUGUUGGAUUAUUCCUGCAGCUGUGCAGCUGGUAAAGGUUUUUGCAAUCAUGUUGUUGCACUUCUAUCAGACUGCACACUACUCCCAACUCCAGCUGCCAAAUGUUCCUGCUGCACUGGCCUGCACUAGUGAGUUACAAAGAUGGCACAGACCAAGAACACAGGGAAUACAUCCUGAACCUUUCAGCAACGUGGUGGUGCGGAAGCCCAAAACUAUGGGGAAAAGAUAUCUGCACUCCACUCUUUACAGAGCUUACACAGGACCACUUCCAGAUCCCGACAUUCUGGCAUCAGGAGAAAAACUACGGCAGCUGGAGUCCCAACCACUUAUCGCUCUUGACCUAGAUGGUCUUUCAAAUUUGGAGCUGGUUCCAUACAAAUUUGGGCCUGUGCCACAGGGCUCACCUAUGUCUUAUUAGUGCCCACCUGAGAAGUCCUCUGGUAGUAUUAUUCUGCACCACAUGGCUCCAGACUUCCCUUCUCUUCCUUUGAUGCUGCAUUGUCUUCUGAACAGGGACGUGCAGAGGUGGGGGCGGAGGGGGCUUGAGCACCUGCCCCUUUGCCCCUUGAUGCUAACGAGACACAUGUGGGGCCUGUUCACCUAACCCCCCCCCCCCUCGUGCAAGAUUUAAAUUUCGAUUCAUACUAGGAUACUGCCGUUACCACAAUUAAUACUUGACAACAAAACUAGUCCCAAUUAAGAAACUAAAUAUUAUCAGCACUAAAAUAGGUGAAAGCUGCUGAGUGCAGUUCUGUAAAGAAGCAGGAGAGACU